rnacentral:lncRNA from 1 species
GAGAGAUGCCGCGGGGUUGUGUAGCAGAAGAAGGGGGCGGGGAGAAGCAGCAAAAAAGGGCCUGUGGAAAAUGGGAUUUUCAACGUAACUAAUUGAAUUCUAAGGAAAUGUGAUGAGGCUAUUUAAAUUUUUCUGACUAAUUAAGUGACUGCAGCAGAGGUUCUUCCAAGGCAGUAUCGGGAACGCGGAAC